rnacentral:rRNA from 1 species
UACGUAGGCAGCGAGCGUUGUUCGGAGUUACUGGGCGUAAAGGGUGUGUAGGCGGUUCUUUAAGUUUGGGGUGAAAUCUCCCGGCUCAACCGGGAGGGUGCGCCGAAUACUGAGGGACUCGAGUGCGGGAGAGGAAAGUGGAAUUCCUGGUGUAGCGGUGAAAUGCGUAGAUAUCAGGAGGAACACCGGUGGUGUAGACGGCUUUCUGGACCGUAACUGACGCUGAGACACGAAAGCGUGGGGAGCGAACAGG